AACGAACGCUGGCGGCAUGCCUAACACAUGCAAGUCGAACGAAACCUUCGGGGCUAGUGGCGCACGGGUGCGUAACGCGUGGGAACCUGCCCUUAGGUUCGGAAUAACUCCCCGAAAGGGGUGCUAAUACCGGAUAAUGUCUUCGGACCAAAGAUUUAUCGCCUUUGGAUGAGCCCGCGUUGGAUUAGCUAGUUGGUAGGGUAAAAGCCUACCAAGGCGACGAUCCAUAGCUGGUCUGAGAGGAUGAUCAGCCACACUGGGACUGAGACACGGCCCAGACUCCUACGGGAGGCAGCAGUGGGGAAUAUUAGACAAUGGGCGAAAGCCUGAUCCAGCAAUGCCGCGUGAGUGAUGAAGGCCUUAGGGUUGUAAAGCUCUUUUAGCCGGGAUGAUAAUGACAGUACCGGGAGAAUAAGCCCCGGCUAACUCCGUG
rnacentral:rRNA from 1 species